ensembl:lncRNA novel transcript
CAGCUGGCCACAACCAGGAAAAGGGUGUCCAGGGCCUCAGAGCUGCUUCAGUGGGGCCAUUUCCAGGCUCCCAAGCAGUAAUGUGGGUGCCCUCUCAAGAACAGAAGCGGAACAGCCUAACGCUAAUGUUUGGGAAGAAGAGAACAGUGAUCCCCCUGGUUACCUCCCAUCUCUCUCUGCAGUUCUCAUGCAUCUGUGCACACACGCUCACACACACAUAUGUCCAUCAAUCCACUCACAAUGUUUGACUUAAAGCAGAAACCAUAUAAAGGGCAGGAUAAGGAGAAAAGACGAAAGGAACUGAAAAGAUGCAAACAGCCACUAACACGCCAAUUUGCACCUUGCACAGGGCCUGGGAAGUAAUGACACGGCUUCUCGUUAUGCAUCAAUGAUCUCAUGUUUUCAUUUUAACAAACACCCUAAUACAAAAAUAGGCUUUAUAGGGAGGAGAGAAAAUAUGUUUUAUAGGGAGGAGAGAAAAGCCAUUCUGAAGAGCUGGAUAGGUUGCCUUUGGCCCACAUGGAGUCAGCCCCCUGCCCACGCCACCAGGCUCACGUUCAGGGCCCUGGCUGGAGAAACCUGAGCUGCAGGACCCGCUGCCCACCAAUGCAGAAGAGAAGGCAGUAUGCUUUUUGCAUUGGGUGGAACAAAAACAGAAGAAAUGGGAAUUUGGUGAGAAAUAAGGGAGGUGGUCCUCAGAAUCUGCAGAGCAGUGGCUUCCAAACUCUGUGAUGCAACCCCAGCCAGAAAAACACUUUACAUCAUGGCUGAGGGCACAUACGUGCACGCACAUAUGCACAAUACAGGAAAUCUGGAAUACAGAAAGCCCUGGAAUUCCUAAAUAACAUCCUGCCCACAUGGGAAUUCUGCCCUAGCUGAUGGCUUCUCCGAGGCCUAGGCCCAAAUCCACACCUGCUGUUUAGCCCAGAGCCAAGCCUAGGAGUGUAGGGUCCCCUAUGCAUGGGUGUCCAACCCCAUCCCUGUCCGGAAUAGCACGGGUGCUUCUCGGUGCCACAAAUGUUGGUGGCGGCUGGGGAGGAGUGGUUCCUCCAAGGCUCCAUGCCUGCCUCCACCACUGAGGCCAGCACGGUGGGACUGGGCUAGGGAGACAGGCAGGCUGGCCUACCCACUGAAGGAGCCAGUCUGCUUCCACCUAGUCAGCAGCUCCAGGGAGCGCAUCUCCCUCCAGGAAGGGCAGGAGGCCAAGAGGAGCUGGAAAGGUGGGCAUUUGAUAUCAUGAGGUAUAAAGAGAGCUCCUAGGGGUCCCAGACAUCAACUAAUAAAAGCACCUCAGAAGUUCAUAGAUGGGGAAAUAGCUGUGUGAAUAUACCGUGUUAUCCAAGUCAUGCGGAGAGGAAGGGCUCGAACCCAUGGCUACUACUCCCCACCCCCGUCCUCCUCCUCCUCUUUCCAUUAAGUUUUUGUGAUUAUGAAAGUAGCUUACAUUUGGUGUAGAAAAUAUGGAACAUAUGGAAAAAUUUAAAAAGACUCAGGCAAAGGGUCAUGUGUCACUUCUUAUGACCAGAGGCCGUUGCUCUUUAUUAACAGAUGGAAAUGUUUUCUUCCAAAUUGUGCUGCACGUUUUUGGCGAGAGCAUGGGGCUGUGCGGCGUCCCCUCCCUGGCGCCCACCUGUGCCCUGCACACUGGCCUGCACUGUGGUGAUCUCGCUUGGCCCCCACCUGAUUCCCGACAUACAGCAGAGGAAGCUUAGGCUCAGGUGGAACAGCCUCAACUGAUUCUGUCCCUGAACUUCCGUACACAGCCCUGGAGUCGUCUUAGAGCCAUGAUUUAUUUAACUGUUCUUUCAUUUUACAGAACAUAAAAUGUAUUGUUUCCAACUUUUUUCCUAUGGUAAAUAAUACUAAAGUAAAUAUCUCUGUGCAUGAAUCUUUUUGUAUAUGUUGGAAUAUCCUUAAGAUAAGGCCCCAGAACUAAAAGUACCCUGUCAAAAGGUGAGCAUUUCCGGUUCCCCUGCUGUGCUUUGCUGCGUUGUUCUCUCCUGCUGCAACGUUCUCACUCCACAAUCCUGGGGCAGGGAGGGGAGGCCCAGCUGAGUUUGGAUCAUAAUCCUGAAAGACACAAUCCCAAGCACCAUAAUGUGGAAUGUUGAAAUCCCUAAAGAUCAAAAUCCCUCAAGUCUAAAAUCCCUGAUAUUUCAGAUGACCACAGCUACAGGGCUAGGUGCACACAAUUAGUAACCGUAGCGAUAUACGUGUACACGUUUCUCUUUUGACUUAUUUCUUUAUGGUCUGUCUUCUUAUAACUGCUACACCCAUGCCGCCGUCGUUAGUUACCUCAGUGUUUAUGCAAAAAUACCUGUUAUCAUUGCCUAUUUUAUUGUGUAAAGUGGCCUAUGAAAUGUUCUGUUGUGUUUUUAUGUUUCUCAAAUACAUACCUUUUAAAAAUGU